CCUACGGGAGGCAGCAGUAGGGAAUAUUGCUCAAUGGGGGAAACCCUGAAGCAGCAACGCCGCGUGGAGGAUGAAGGUUUUCUGAUUGUAAACCUCCUUUUUUAGAGAAGUUAAUCACGGUACCUAACGAAUAAUCACCGGCUAACUCCGUGCCAGCAGCCGCGGUAACACGGAGGGUGCAAGCGUUACUCGGAAUCACUGGGCGUAAAGGGCGCGUAGGCGGGAUAGCAAGUCAGAUGUGAAAUCCUAUGGCUUAACCAUAGAACUGCAUUUGAAACUGUUAUUCUAGAGUAUAGGAGAGGUAGGUGGAAUUCUUGGUGUAGGGGUAAAAUCCGUAGAGAUCAAGAAGAAUACUCAUUGCGAAGGCAACCUACUAGAACAUAACUGACGCUGAUGCGCGAAAGCGUGGGGAGCAAACAGGAUUAGAUACCCCUGUAGUC
rnacentral:rRNA from 1 species